UGCAGGUCCUCUGCAAUAUUACCAGCGAAGAAAAAACAUUGUCCUAUAUUUGCCCGGCAGUCCAUUGGAGAUACAUUGCUAAACCGAUGGGUUUAGAAAAAAAUACAUUGCUAAACCGAUGGGUUUAGAAAAAAAACUGAUCUGACCAUGGAUAUGUUAUGCAAUGAAUUCGGGGCACGUGUGGCUUGCUCAAGGCAUCAUGGAGGCAGAGUACGCCCGGCCUUGAUGAUCUUUAUGCUGCAGCAUCAAGGACAUGUAGCUUGCUGUCUCAGAAUGAGAAACCUCUUGUGGUGCCAAAGAAAACGGUUUCCCUUUUUUCCAGUGACGAACAAAGCUGAGUUCUAGACACCAGAAGGAGCAGAAGAAGCAGACAUCCUCGCUUCUGGCGACAGCACCAGAUGCAAAAAUAAUUGCACUUCCCCUAGCGUAGUAGUAGUUCUUCCAUGCGUGUCUUGCUCUGAUUUAACAGAAUCGGGGGUUCAGUGUGUUCCGUUCCUGUAAUAAGAUCUUCUAAGAGUCUCAAUAUCAUGGUCUUUCCACGUUGGAGCACACUUGUACCUAGCAUAUUCUCUGAUCCCACCAUGGAUUCCCCGCACUAUUUAUCAUUCUUUGAACUAGCCUAGACGUUUUAGU